CCUACGGGAGGCAGCAGUAAGGAAUAUUGGUCAAUGGGCGGAAGCCUGAACCAGCCAUGCCGCGUGCAGGAAGACGGCCCUACGGGUUGUAAACUGCUUUUAUACGGGAAUAAACCUCGAUACGUGUAUCGAGCUGAAUGUACUGUAAGAAUAAGGAUCGGCUAACUCCGUGCCAGCAGCCGCGGUAAUACGGAGGAUCCAAGCGUUAUCCGGAUUUAUUGGGUUUAAAGGGUGCGUAGGUGGCCUGUUAAGUCAGGGGUGAAAGACGGUAGCUUAACUAUCGCAGUGCCCUUGAUACUGAUGGGCUUGAAUAAACUAGAGGUAGGCGGAAUGUGACAAGUAGCGGUGAAAUGCAUAGAUAUGUCACAGAACACCAAUUGCGAAGGCAGCUUACUAUGGUUUUAUUGACACUGAGGCACGAAAGCGUGGGGAUCAAACAGGAUUAGAUACCCUGGUAGUCCACGCCCUAAACGAUGAAUACUCGAUGUUGGCGAUAUACGGUCAGCGUCUAAAGCGAAAGCGUUAAGUAUUCCACCUGGGGAGUACGCCCGCAAGGGUGAAACUUAAAGGAAUUGAGNGNGAGAGNGCGAGACGACACGAGGAGAGG
rnacentral:rRNA from 1 species